rnacentral:rRNA from 1 species
UACGGGGGGGGCAAGCGUUGUUCGGAAUUACUGGGCGUAAAGGGCGCGUAGGCGGUCCGCUAAGUUGGAUGUGAAAACUCUGGGCUUAACCCAGAGCCUGCAUCCAAAACUGGCAAACUUGAGUACUGGAGGGGAAAGCGGAAUUCCUGGUGUAGCGGUGAAAUGCGUAGAUAUCAGGAGGAACACCGGUGGCGAAGGCGGCUUUCUGGACAGUAACUGACGCUGAGGCGCGAAAGCUAGGGGAGCAAACAGG